CAAAAAGCCUCGUCUCAUCUUCUCGAACUCGCUCAUCUAGAUCUCAUCUCUCUUAGAUUACCGAAAAACUUGCCGGCGGGGGGGUUUCGGACAAAUAAUUCAAGUUCAUGUUCAGUUUGGGGAUUACGUUCAGUUUUAGGUAUCUUAUGCAAAGGAAGCACUGAGGACAGCUGGCCGUUGAAUGAUGGAGAGUCGUUGCGGACAGUCGAAGAAGGUCGGCCUCGAGGUUGGUUUCGGAGGAGGGUGACCACGGGGGAUUUUAGCGAGGUACGUACGGCAGGAGAUGCACAUGAUGGGAAUCAUUGGGAAGGCUAAGGAGGCCGCGGCAUGGCAUGAGGAAAUGAAACGUUCAAUAAAUAGAUGCAUCCAGGAUGAGAAGGUCAGAUUCAUCAUGUAAAAAGGACGAUGAAGUUCUCUGAGGCGCAAAGUCUAAAUAUAUAUAUA
rnacentral:sRNA from 1 species